AUUAAUAUGAAACUGAUAUUUUAUAGUCAAAGGGUUUUCACUUUUAAGACAUUGUAUCAGGCCGACAAAAUCCUCCUAGGUUUCCCCUCUCCCUCUUCGUGCGGUUACGUGUUCUUUUAUCAGCACUAACAAUGACCACAUCAAAGAGACUUGCAGAGAAGAAAGUAGCUAAGUUUGAGAAAAACAUAACCAAAAGAGGGUUGGGGCCCAUGGCUUCAAAGAAGAUCAAGACCGAAAUCUACGUGCUUGCUUUGUUCGUUGCGGUGGUGGUUGGAUCUUUUCUGUUUCAGAUAAUCAGACUGGCAUUGAAGGGAUAAAGAACUACCCAGGUCAACCUUAGUCAUAUGUUACCUGAAAUCCUAAAUUAAAUACCUAUAGAGUAAUGUCAGAAUUAGCAUCUUGAUGACAAUCAUAAACUACUAAUAAAAUUAUGCUGCAAUUUUGCACAAAUGAUUUUACAUAUAUA